UACGUAGGGUGCGAGCGUUAAUCGGAAUUACUGGGCGUAAAGCGUGCGCAGGCGGUUUUGUAAGCCAGAUGUGAAAUCCCCGGGCUUAACCUGGGAAUGGCAUUUGGGACUGCAAGGCUGGAGUGUGGCAGAGGAGACUGGAAUUCCUGGUGUAGCGGUGAAAUGCGCAGAUAUCAGGAGGAACACCGGUGGCGAAGGCGGAUCUCUGGGCCUUACCUGACGCUCAGGUGCGAAAGCUAGGGGAGCGAACAGG
rnacentral:rRNA from 1 species